CGUAUUUAUUGAGCGUUUACUGUGUGCAGAGUAGUAAGCACUUAACAAAUACCAUGAUUAUUAUUAGCAGUAGUGACAUACCGCUCUUUUGCCGUCUAUUAAUCCUCCACACACCUGCCCACUCACUUCAUCCAUUCACAUGCCCAGGCAUAUUUCCCCCCCAGCUCCGGCCUGGGCAUAUUCCCAUUCACUCUCCACUCACUCUCCUAUUCACUCUCUGUCUCACACGCAUACACACAUAUACAUGCAAACGUACACACACACAAACACACACACACACUUUUUUCCUGGCAUCACUGGACUUCGAACCUACAACCUCAAGGUCCGCAAAAUGAACGCUCUGUUUGUCAUCCUCACCUUUACCUUUCUCCGUGUAACAGGAACAGCAAAAUGUACCUAUACGAUCUUACUCUUCAUCCGAAAGGUAAGUACAAUUCUUAGGGGGGGUUUAGGAUGACCUGAAUGGGUCUUUACCAUUUCCUUGUGGAAAUCAGGGAAAACCACAAAAAAUUGCCCCGGGAAACAGCCCCCUCCAACCAAAAGCACCCCAGCAACCACAAACCGUGUACAUUUGUCUUCCUCACAGCUAGGAACGUCAGAGCAGUAUGUGUUUGGGGAGAGGGAGAUGGCUUCAGAGACGGGAUUGUCACUUCUGUCCAUCUGGGGAGAUCUAGAAGACCCAUACCUGGUAACGGUCUGACUGUGAGACCCAGGCGGCUACGUCUGCAACGAGGGAAGACCUCUCCAAAGCCAGGUGCCUGAUUUUUCUCAGUGACGGAGUGUCGACGUCUGAGCGUUUCUCAUUUAUUCCACCCGAGGACCGGAAGCCAAGGCUAGAAUUUCACCUGCUUUUCUCUUACUCAGUUGUUUCUUGCUGACCCUAAUGUUCAGUUUCCUUUCAUUCCUUUAAUAGUUUACCGGCAUUUGGUCAUUGCUGUGCUUUUAUUUCUGUUAAGGGGGAGGGAGAGUGUUUCAGUUCUUUCUUGGGUCGGGUCAUUUUUGUACAAGCCCGCAGACUGUCGACGGUUUCUCUACUGAGAAUGGUGGGAGUAUUUUCACCAGUUUUAUAUCUCAGAUAAUCCCGUUUGUGCCUUUUUGAAUUUGUAUAAAUAUCUGUAAAUUAAAUGAAGGGCUCAUUCCGGAAAGGGUGGUAGACCCUUCAGGAAAUUCUGGUGCUGCCAGGGAAGAAUCAUUUUAAGCCUCCUCUGGAAAAACCUAAAAUUCAUUCAAUCAUAUUUAUUGAGCGCUUACUGUGUGGAGAUAUAUAUGACAUGUCUGUGUCCGAUUUGGCAGAGUCACGAAUGGUCACUGCCAUAGAUGAGAAGGGCACACUUUGAAAGGACUGUGACUUAAAAAAAGACUAGUAAGCUGGAAAGACUAAUUUCUUUUUACUUCCCCCCAAAUAAUUUUAUAUUCUUCUUUCGGUCCAUUCUCUUCCUUCGCCGUUGCCACCACCGUCACCCGUUCUCGUCGCGAGCUGACCUCAGCACUCGUAGGAUCCGCUUUACGCAGAAGAUUGAGGCAGGAGAGCCGUCCGCGGGAAGACCGAAGGCCGGCGACCCGGUUCCAACCUCCCGGCAGCUUCCGCGCCACGGACCGCCGCCAACGAGUCCACAGGGAGACGUGCAACAUUCGGGUUUUCGCCAGUCCGGUUUUAGUGCCCGAGCACAGUUUGCCACGUGGCAGGUUUGGGUCGCGGUAGACACUGACGUACAUUGCGUUCGGGUGACUCGUCCACGGCCAGCUAACAGUUGACCUGGUUUUCCUCCGGCACGGGCGGCGAUUCCAUCCGGAGACGGCGACGCUCCCGACGAACGGCGCUCUCUCUCCCGCUGCCGUCCGGACCCGGGCAGGUGACGGGACCCGAUCGCUCGACCCGCCGGCUCACCGCCCCUGCCCUCACCGCCACCCUGCCGCUGGCCUCUUCCUCCUCCAACCGUCCUGGGUUUCCCGAGGGCCUCGACGGCCUCCCGCGCCGCUUGCAGUUGCUCGGGUGUGGUUAAGAGAUGCUGACAUCCGUCUCUCUAGCUGG